rnacentral:rRNA from 1 species
UACGAAGGGGGGCUAGCGUUGCUCGGAAUCACUGGGCGUAAAGCGCACGUAGGCGGAUUGUUAAGUCAGGGGUGAAAUCCUGGAGCUCAACUCCAGAACUGCCUUUGAUACUGGCGAUCUUGAGUCCGGGAGAGGUGAGUGGAACUGCGAGUGUAGAGGUGAAAUUCGUAGAUAUUCGCAAGAACACCAGUGGCGAAGGCGGCUCACUGGCCCGGUACUGACGCUGAGGUGCGAAAGCGUGGGAGCAAACAGG